rnacentral:rRNA from 1 species
CCUACGGGAGGCAGCAGUGAGGAAUAUUGGUCAAUGGGCGGAAGCCCUGAUGCAGCGACGCCGCGUGAGUGAAGAAGUAUUUCGGUAUGUAAAGCUCUAUCAGCAGGGAAGAAAAUGACGGUACCUGAUUAAGAAGCCCCGGCUAACUAGGUGCUAGCAGCCGCGGUAAUACGUAGGGGGCAAGCGUUAUCCGGAUUUACUGGGUGGAAAGGGAGCGUAGACGGCAGCACAAGUCUGGAGUGAAAUGCCGGGGCUUAACCCCGGAACUGCUUUGGAAACUGUGCAGCUAGAGUGCAGGAGGGGUAAGUGGAAUUCCUAGUGUAGCGGUGAAAUGCGUAGAUAUUAGGAGGAACACCAGUGGCGAAGGCGGGUUACUGGACUGUAACUGACGUUGAGGCUCGAAGGCGUGGGGAGCAAAAGGGAUUAGAUACCCGUGUAGUC